UGGAUGGGACGAUCUUAUGCGGGAACAGGUCGAGGAAUCCACCUUGAAACAACGUCUUGGAACUGGAAGGCGCGAUUCGGCGACACAGAUCACUUCGAUAUCCCCGCCAAACGAGCCGCAAGAACCUGCGACCAAUCAACGUCGACGACGAUCGAGCUUGGCACAAUUGACAGAUAUUUUGCGCGAAUGGAGCGGGGGUGGCGGUGGAAAGGGCGAGCGGGGGAACAAGCUGUAUCGUCGCGAAACAUUGGGAGAUAUAGCGAAAUCUUUUCCGUGGUCCAGGCAAACGACCACGGAUGCGAGCCAUCUUGAGAGGCUGCGCAAGAGGAGGGAGAGCUCGGUGGACAGCGGGAUCAGAAGCCAGUCGUCUACGAAAUCGAGAAAAGAUUCAACGAUCACCGAGCUGAAAAAUGAUUUUGCCAGAUUAUGGGGAAAGAAGGAGACGCCUCAGCCGCAACCACCCCCUACGGUUAUUUCGCCCACCUAUCGAGGGUUCAGAGAGAGCGAUUCGAGAGGAUCUCGACGGGGGUCAGGGGAGAGCGGAAGGGCGAAAAAUCAAGGGGAACGGAAGCAUAAUUGCCGUCACCACAGGCGCAGGCAAUCGCAGCAAUCGCAGCAAUCAAUGGACAGUGGAAGCGGCGUGAUGCCCGUGAAAUAUUACAGAAGCGAUCAAAGACCGAGCGCUUCGAGUACGGAUAGCGCGGCCAGCAAUGCUGUCAGAGAGCAUUUGGAAGCGCGUAAUUCCAUGGACAAAGGCGAACGAUCGAGUAGUAUCGAGGGCAAAACAUCCGUGACAACAAGUAGCGAAUCAAAAACGUCCACCACGACUACCACCACAACUGUGUCGUCGACGACUACCGCGGUGACCACGUCGACCACAGUGACGAUGGAGCCGAAGGCCGCGACCGUCGUCGACAGUAAAAAUUUAACCCUCGAGUCGUCCAUCACUACCCCUACCAUCGUGAUGUCAUCAGUGACGCCACCAAGCGUCUCUCCAACGGUGGGUAGCAGCCUUCCACUUCCAGGAACCUCGACUUCCGGUAGUUCCAGUCCCGUUGGCUCGCCAAACGUCAACACACCGACCCACCCAUUGAUUAGCACUAGAAGAGACUCGACCACCCAGUGUUAUCAGAAGGGAAAGGAAGUAUCACCGAACAAGUUGUCGAGAUUGAUACGGCAAUCGGCUGCCAUAGAUGAGUCGAUGCCACCAGCACGACGACGAGGAAGUCAACCGACAUUGUCACCGGAUACUGACGAAGGAGGACGAAGAGCUCGAAAAGACUCGCUGAGCCCCGAUUCCGCUUCGUAUCCGAGGCGCCGUGAUUCGAAGAGCCAUCUGAGUCCAGAGAGAGCAGUCGAUAAAAGAGACAUCAGUCCUAUCAGGGAGAGAUCUCAGCUGACGCGACAGUCAAUGUCGAUGGCAGGACGGUCGCCACCAAGAUCACCGGAUAGUUCUUCCUGUUCCUCAAGGGAUCCAAGUCCGUGUGCUCGUGCUCCAGGAAGUAUACCUCAUGCUCCUAUUGGAAGAAGACAAUCGACAACGGACGAGAUAUUUAUUGCUCGUGGAUUUAGGCGGCAGAGCACCACGGAAGAGACAAUAAGAUGUCGAAACUUUCGAAGACAAAGUUCGCAAAGUGAAAAACUGGUUCAAAGAUAUCAAGGACGAAGAGACAGUUCCACACAAAUCACCGAUGGAACAUUUGCUACCAUGUCUGUCGAGAUAUCGAACACGUUUUUCGAUAGCAGCACUCAGACUGAAGCAUGACAGCGAUCUGUUUCGUGUGUAAUCUACCGAUCCUGAGCCACCAGGUCGGCCUGGUGUGGCAAGGUGG
rnacentral:sRNA from 1 species